GCGCGCCGCCGCGUCGGCUAGUCUUGUGUUACCUUAUCGAAAAUAUUUCCUUAAGGGUUACAUUUUAAAUGCGCAAUUAACGCCGCGAGUGCACCCCCAAGGCAUCACAACACGACGAAAAGGUGCGAUGCGGUGUGCUAAUGGAAAGGAGCGUGUCGGAAUUCAUCGAGUGAACAUGUGCGUCCCCGCUCGACGGGAGCCGGUUCCAGUUAUGCAAUAACUUUCAAAAAUGCCGGUUCCAACAUUGCAGUUUGUUCCGAGAUUUGAAUUGAGAACAAUGAAACCAUAAUUAUUGAGAAAAAAUUACAAAUCUAUUAAGAGAGAAGAUGUAUCAUCACUAAUAUUUUGAAGAAAAAUCGUUUGAAGUUUGCAGAAUGCAGAUAUUCAAAAAAAUUAUUUACCGUACGCUUCCAAGAAACAAAAUACAGACAAUAAUGUGACUGGAAUGUUUAUAUAAAAAAAAAAAACAUGUAAAUGAUGAUAUAGAAGCUAAUCGUCGCCGGAUAUUGGAAAUCCGGUAGCUUUCCAGAGCCGAUAACCGGAUGUUGUACGUGAAUAGAUCAAUCAUUCGUUCCAAAAAUUUCAAUCACCUAAAUGAACAAAAUGCAGACAAAUAAAGAACUCUAAUAUUCUACUUUUCAGAUCUGCGCAUGCAUUUAUAAAGAAAAGAAAGAAAUUUCAAAAGGGAUCUUCUUUAAACUCAAUAUAAUCGUACAGAUUACAAAUAUUAUUUCAGAAAACAAAGCAAUAUAAAAUUCAGUCUUCAUACUUAUAUUAUAAAUGCGAAAGGUGACUGUCUCGUUACCUUGUCACAGCCAAUCGUUCAAAUCCAAUAGAAUGAAAUUUGCUAAGUAAAUAAAUAACAAAUCGGAGAAGGGCAUUUUUAUAUAAAAAUGCUUGUAAAAGAUUGAGACUUUAUAUUCAGUAAAUACCGAUCAUUUUUGCUUUAUUGUAUAUGCUUAGUUCAGGUAUGGUAUUUCAAGUUUCUGCUGUUAAUUGUGAAAAUAUUUAGAGCUAUUUUCGUUUUUCAAGGACACCACGCCGUUUUUAUUUUAAUAUACAUUAAUAUAAUCUUAAACGAAAGAAUAACAGACAGGCAACAAUCUGAGUGGACUUAUUUACCGCAGCAAGCGCUGUGCACACACGUUAUAUCCUUAUUUAAACAAAUUAAAACGGAGUUAUUUGUUGCAAAGUUAUCUUGUAUAGUAAGUUUAUUAACUGACUACUAAAAAGUAAAAGAUUUUCAAAUCAAGUAGGUUUUAUUUGUAUGUUUAUUACGCGAUACUUCCGACAAGUGUUGUGGGCGUGGAUUCUUUCAUACCUAAGUUUUUGAAGAAGGCUUAAAAAAACUUUACGUCAAUAAAGAGCUACUAACAGAAGAUCGUUAGAGGAAAGUAACAAGUUUUUUGGUACUUAUAUGUUAUGUUUAAUAUUUAUGACAUAAUGUGGACUCCACCAUCACGGCCUUUUGCUCUCAUGUAUGCAAUCAAAAAUCUGUAUAGAUAUAGUUUGGGAGUAAUGAAUUUUAUUACAGGCAAAAUCAGUCUUAUUGUUUGUUUAACAAUUUUUUUGUGUACAAAGCAGAAUAGACUUUCAUCUAGAAGAAUUUAUUGGUGAAAGAAGAAUAAGGAAGCAUGGGUUGACCGCACUGGCAGUGUGGUUAGCUGGUUGUGUAAUGAAAAACCAACAGCCAGUAACGACACUGCUCCUGCGUACUUCCAUUAUAUGCAGAAGUUGAUUCAAGAAGACCAAGAAGAAAUAUAGCAUUAAUACAUCAGUUUCGAGAUUUAAUUAUCUAUAGCUAUGAUUAUAAAGCGUGUGUUUUAUUUCAAGAAUGGGCAAACAGAAAACGAGUCAAUUAAUGAUAGAAAAUUAACACCCCAUGGCUUGACAUGUAGGACUUUUUGACUCGAUUCUCCAAAUUUAGCCCCCAAAUUUGAAUUUUAGCUUUUUCUUCCAUUGAUAAUAAACGUUCUGAUCAUGAAUUUUUAUUUGCAUGUUUUGUUUAAAUGCAAAAUGAAUAAAGAAAUCGACUUCUACGUUAAAAGCAUUACAAUCUUCAUUGCGUAAGAACAUUUAAAAUCAUCAAUCAUUUCAGAUCAUCCAGUAAAGUUUUUGAAAUUUAUAUUAGUUAUACCUUAGAUACCUACGUCGGUGAAUCAAUAAUGAAUACAAAAGAAAAAAUGUCAAACACUUAAUAGUCCAACUGGCAUGUUGACGUAAUGUGCAUAUCUGUCGACACAGAUUAAAUCUAGAAAUAGAUGUACAUAAAUAGUGUAACAGAACGUUACAAAUGCAAUAAAUUGCAGCGUUCAGGUGCGACUGGGCCGCGAGCCAGUUGACACGUGGAAGAUCGUAUCAAGUCAUACAUCCUUAUUUGUCGUUCGGGCUAAUUUGAGUUGCGUUUUAUAUAAUCUCUUUUGAAUUUCGCAUUUGCGUCUUUGUUAUAAAAGUGUUGCAGCAAAUUUUAAUUCCAACCGAUAAAACAUUAAUUGGUUCCUAAACGCAACAUAAUUGGUAACUGUAUUUUAAUAUAUAUUUUGGUAAUGUUUAUUCUAUUUUGUUAAGAAAAAAAAUGUAUGAUUUUUUUUUUUUUUGCAAUUUUUCAUCUUAAAACGUGGCUUAUAUAGAAUAAUACAACUUACCUUUAUUCCCUUAACCCAAUAAUGAAGGCGCCUAGGAGAACUCCGCGAAGGAAAAAUUUAAGUACAUUCCAAAACAAAAGUAAAUGUUUUUAUUGUGUUUUAUUUAUAGUAUAGAGAAAGUAAAUUAAAUUUCAAUAAAUUAAGGCUAGGUAAAAAAAAAUAUACGUUGUUGUAAAUUGUUUAUUUUAUUUCACUACAUAUAAGUUACAAUUAAGAGAUAUCCCAUAAUAUAAUAACAUAUUGUACAAGAGCUAGUAACUAAAAAUGCGAUUUAAUUAUUUUAUAUAUAAAAAAUAGACAAAUCCUACUUAGGGUGAGACCAAUUUUUGUUUUAAAUUGACAUUUUUAAAAAGAAAUACCGCCUUUUUGAAAUGCACACCUAAAUUCGAUUUUCAAACGACUGCUUAUUCAUAGAGAAUUAUUAAUAUUAAAAAAGUAAAAUAUAGGCUAGUUCGUUUGACUAAACGCUUAUUUAAUAUCGUAUGCCAGAAUAUAAACAUAAAUUUCUAUUACCAUAAUUUUUUAUUAAGUGAAUUAAAAGAACGAUAAUUAUAAACAUAUGCAUAUUUUUUUAUCUUUCAAAUAAAUCCAUAAAUUGGCACAAUACACUUUUUAUAACGA